rnacentral:rRNA from 1 species
GGGUCAGUAGGUUGGUCGUGCCACCGGUACGUACUGGUCUCACUGAUUCCUCCUUCCUGAAGAACCGUAAUGCCAUUAAUUUGGUGUUGCGGGGAAACAGGACUGUUACUUUGAAAAAAUUAGAGUGUUUAAAGCAAGCUAACGCUUGAAUACAUUAGCAUGGAAUAAUGAAAUUGGACGAUCGAUCCUAUUUUGUUGGUUUCUAGGAUUGACGUA